UGUGCUCCACCCCUCUAUGUCUGGAGCGCAAAGACUAAUAGUACGGUAUGCGAUUCCCGACGUUCACAAAGAGCUUUUGUUCGCCAACGACACAUCACUAAAACUAAGUUAACUGAAAACACAACUUUCAGUUGACUGAAAAUGGACUCGCCCUCGCUGAUACAAAUACAAGACAAACUGGAUUUUCUGGUUUGUUCAUUUACCAGCAUUCUUUCCUCAUUUACGAAGCUAGUGUGCUAGCUGAAUACCCAACUUUCGGUUGACUAAAUUACAACUAAAAAUAUCUAAACUACAGUUGUUGCAUGUGUUCUUAAAUGAGCGUUUAACGGCGGCUGCUGUUGAGGUUUUCGGGGCAGUUGAGAAAACAGUAGUGUCGUAUCAAGAGAAGAGGAUGACACCGGAUAAAAAAACUAAGUAGAAUAGACUCCCUGCAGCUCUCUCUCACUGUCUCUGAAAAGGAGGUUCCUGAUAAGCAGCAGCACUGUGAGCAGAAGUGGAGCCCCUGUCUGGGGAAGGAGGACCCAGAGCCCACAGAGAUUAGAGGAAGAGGAGGAAGUCAAGGCCAGUCAGGAGGAAGAGCAGCUUCAAGGACUCUUUGAUAUCAAAGACUCCAUAUUCACUGCUCCCUGUGUGAAAAGUGAAUGUGAUCAGGAGGUACUGUGACCUGUCUGAAGAGUCUAGACUCUUCCUGUGACUAUCAAGAUAAACAAAACAAUGCCUCCAGCCACAGCUCAGCUGUAAGCAGCGACCCAGUAGGACUUGACAGCAGCCCACCAUUGGGGAACACCGCGCCAAAACCAGCACCACGUCUAGAAAAACGUACGGCUGCCCCGACUGUGGUGAAACGUUUGCUCUGAAAGCUGACCUGCAGGGGCAUGUGACUCUCGCCAAGAAGAGAUCCAGCGUCUGCAAAAAAAAAGCAACAACUCCACCUGUAAAUUGAAGGCCCAUGUCCAAAUCCGUCACAUGGAGAAACUCUGCAUCUUCCCCUUUUGUGGCAAGACCUUCAAACAAAGGAAAUAUUUUCAGGCACAUGAUGAUUCACACAGGAGAGAAAUCAUUUAGCGGUGGUGACUGUGGGAAAAGCUUCAUUCAAAAGGGGGACCUAAUGAGACAUAUACUGACUCACAUAGGAGAGAAACCAUUUAGCUGUGGUGACUGUGGGAAAAGCUUUAAUCGGAAAAGGGCAGCUGAAGGUGCACAUACAGACUCACACAGGAGAGAAACAACAUAGCUGCUUAGUCUGUGGUAAAAGAUUCACUCAUAAGGCUUAUCUAGUGAAACAUGUAGAUAAGGUCCACAAAGGAAGGAAGAAAGAAAACAGGAUGAAAACGGAAAGAACAUGAAAUAGGACAAAUAUAUUCUAUCAACAGAUGGGAAUUUUAAAAAAGCAGGAUGAGGACAACAGCCUUAGCAAACCACCUCUGGACCAUUCAUGCUGUCCUCUUAAGAUAAAUGGAUGUGUGAUGAAUUUACUUUUAACAGAAUAUUCUUUGUAAAUAAAGUUUCAUUUUUAUUUGAAGGGUGAGGUAAUGAUCCAACAGAACUAUGCAGUAUUAUGUGAAUCUCACAGGUCUGCUGUUGAAAGUCUGUUGAUGUUUUCACAUGAUUACCAACAGGAAUAUCUGGUUGUUUGUUUUGGAAUGUCUCUCAGGGUGAUGAGAGAAUGGUCUGGCUGAUGUUAUUGAUACGUUGUUGUUGUUUUUACACUUUCCAGAAAAUAUCUCCUUCCAUCUGUCUUUUUGUCAUACAUUUUGACCUAAUGCUGCUCAUUCAGGAUAUUGUUUGAGUCUUUAUGGAAGUAAUGAUUUAAAGUUGAUUCCUGAUAAGUGCACUUUGUGUGAGUGAAAACUCUGUUCUAAGUGCACAACAGUGUUUGUCCAGUCCCAUUUCAGUGACACCCCUUGUAAUUGCUCCCGAUAAGCGCAUUCUCUUUUUAAAUGCAUGUUUUCACAUCAGUCCCAAGCCGUUGCAGUUGUCAAGAGUCGCCUGUGUUAAAAUGCAUUGUCUUUCAAUUCAGUUCAUGCAAAAAAAGAUCAUCCUAUUACUAAUUAAAACUGUUUCCCCAAAUGAAGUUAUCUAUUUCUGGAGCUUGAAGUAAAACUCCAUCCACAUGGAGAUGCUGUGUAUCACUGAAGCGUUACUAGCAUGCUAGCAGAUACCCAUAGACUUGCAGUCAUUGCGUUAACGCUAGUUAGCAUUGGUUCGCGAAACUAUCUCUAAUUACCUCUAACAGAGAAAUAAAAAUGGUAUCCACUAGUUCAUCUGACUCUGGGGAAGUAGAUGAAGGCCACAAUCCUUUUCUGAUUGAGCCCACUAAAGCAGCGUUUACCAUGAAUGGAGUCUCUGCUAUAACGCAGGAACAUUGCCUUUAAAGUUCGAUCACGCUGUAACGCUGAAUUCCCGUCAUACGGAUUUAAUAGAGCUAAGUCUUUAUGUGGGUUUAAUUUUUCCUUGUUUUUUUUGUACCACCUACCCCUUUCAGAUAUACGAAAAAGCAGGCAAAAAGAAGCAGGCAUGGUAAAUUAAUGGGAUUUUGGUCUGUAUAUAAAAGGGACACACACAAUGGGCCUACCAAAUACAUUGUAUUAACAGUAUUUAAAAAUGUAAUAUACAAGAUUACAUCAAUAUCAUAAAUGAGCAACAUUAAGACAAAACAUAUAAAUAUUAGUGGACAAAUGCAAGGACACAUUUUAUUUAUUUAUAUAUAUAUGUAUCAAUAACAUAAGUCAGACUAUUCUGGAGACAUUCCUAAACAAACUAGCAGGAAUUCCAGUUUAUAAUGAUGUGAAAACAUCAGACCUGUGAGUUUAACUACUCUGUACUGUUAGAUCAAAUCAAACUUUAUGUGUAUCACUGAAGCAUUACUAGCAUGCUGGCAGAUACCCAUAGAACGUUUUACAAAAGUAAAUUCAUGACGUCUAUUUAUCUGAAACCCAGAGAAUGAAUGAUCCAGAGUUGCUUUGCUUUUCCAAAGUGUUGUCCAUCUUCUAACAAGAUGUGUUUGUCCUAAUUUGUUUCCUCUUUGUGUUUUCAUUCUGUUUUUUCUAUUUGUUUCAUUCUUUGUAGACAUUCGCUCCUGUGUGAGUCAGUAUGUGCAAGUUCGGAAAGGGAACCUGUUCCCUUUCCGAUUGAAGCUUUUCCCACAGUCACCACAGCUAAACGGUUUCUCUUCUGUGUGAAUCCUCAUAUGUCUGGACAGAUGUCCUUUGUGUUUGAAGGUCUUUCCACAAAAGGGGCAGGUGGAGGGCUUCUCCACGUGACAGAGUCUGACAUGGGCCUUCAAUUUACAGGUGGAGUUGUAGAGUUUUUGGCAGGGGUCGGCAUUCACUGGGUCUCUUCUUGGCGAGAGUAACAUGCAAUUUCAGCAUACCACCCUGCAUCCCACUGCUGGCUUGCUUCUGAAGCCGUUAUUAUGAGCCGUCCUCCACUGAGUGACACCUACCAUCCCUGGAUUGUGAGUCCCUUCAGUUAUCUCUUGUUGUCACUGAAGAGGAGGUUCCCCCUGAGCAGCAGCACUGUGAGCAGGAGAGGAGAACCAGUCUGCAGCAGGAGGACCGAGAACCCAAACAGAUUAAAGAGGAACAGGAGGAACUCUGGACCUGUCAGGAGGAAGAGCAGCUUCAAGGGCAGGAGGCUAAUAGUGUGUUCAAAUUCCCUCCUCUUUGUGUGAAAAGUAAAUGUGAUCAGGAAAACCCACUUCAGUCCUUUACUCUUCCCCAAACCCAGACGGUGGAGAACAGAGAGAGUGCCUCUAAACCAGUGAAUCUCCCACAUUUUGUCACUUUUACCCACCUAAAGGGUCUCGACAUUCCCUGUGACCCCCCAGAUAAUCAAAACGAUUCCUACAGCCACAGCUCAGCUGUAAGCAGUGACCCAGUAGGACUUAGGUUGGGAUUAAAUGGUGACAGCAGCCUAUCAAUGGGGGAACACUGUUGCAAACCCAGCACCGUGUCUAGAAAAGCUCUCCGCUGCUGUGACUGUGGUGAAACGUUUGCUCUGAAAGCUGGCCUGCAGGAGCAUGUGACUCUCGCCAAGAAGAUACCCAGCGAAUGCCACCUCUGCCAAAAACUCUACAACUCCACCUGUAAAUUGAAGGCCCAUGUCAGACUCUGUCACGUGGAGAGACCCUGCACCUGCCCCUUUUGUGGAAAGACCUUCAAACUCAAAGGACAUCUUUCCAGGCACAUGAGGAUUCACACAGGAGAGAAACCAUUUGGCUGUGGUGACUGUGGGAAAAGCUUCAUUCAGAAGGGGGACCUAAUGAGGCACAUACUGACUCACACAGGAGAGAAACCAUUUAGCUGUGGUGGCUGUGGGAAAAGCUUCAAUCGGAAGGGGAACCUAACUGAACAUAUACGGACUUGCACAUACUGACUUACACAGGAAAGAAAGUUUACAAAGAAACUAAUUAAUUAGGACGAAGGUAUCUUGUCAGAUGGACAACACUCUUUAGAAAAGCAACUCUGGAUCAUUCAUUCUGUGGGUUUCAGAUAAAUAGAUGUGAUGAAUUUACUUUUGCUAAACGUUCUAUGUAAAUAAAGUUUGAUUUGAUCCAA